ensembl:lincRNA
CAAGUUUCCAUUCCCAGCAGACCCCAGAAAUCUUUCUAAAAUCCCCAGCCUCCCUAACUCUCCAUUCAGUGAAUGUACAUGUGACAUUUUCUACAGUGUAAAAAUGCAACAAGGCAAACAAAAUACCAAUAUUUACCAAUGUCUUUAUUAAUUUUGGGGCUAGGCAUCUCAGUUGGGCUGAACAAUGUGCCGAUAUCUCCAGAGCCAAAAAAUAUUUUGGUUCCCUAACAACAUUUCAUUUCAGUUCCCUAACAAUAAACACCUUUUGUGUAACCGAGUGCUGAAUUUGACAGAUGUCAACGACUUACUCAGCCCACUUCAUCUGAAUGAUGGUUUUACAAAUGGUUUCAUUUUUUGAGUGACAGCGACCAUCAACUUAUUGUUAAAGCAAAGCUUCACCAGACCUCUCACUAACCCGGAUCUGCAGUUCAAUAGAAAAGAAAAGCAGAUUCACAUUUUUCAAGGAAAAACGGAGAAGGACUGUAGUAAAUCAAAGGUGCCAAAAUGCAUAACCUGACCAAUACCAAAUACCCCAAAUCAAGUUAUUUUCAAAUUUAUAUAUACACACAUACAGUACUUGGCUUAACAUUGCUUCAAUACUUUGGAAAAUGUGCAGACGCUCACUCUGUCCUUGAAAGAUAAAUGAAUUACAGGAAAAUGCGCACAUGCCCCCAGAAUUAUCUCUGGCGGUGGUUCUGUUAGCAUUAUCGUGUAGUUGAUGUCUGUAACCUUGCAAAGUGAAGAAGGACACCACAUGUCGUGUUUCCACAGUCACUGCAAGGACUUCUUCGUAUUUGAUCUCUGGGAUCUCUGCUGUGCAGAUAAGGCAAAACCUGUUUUUCCCCAAGAGACAGAAAGUCUGAGACCGAGGAACAACAGAUUACUGUUAAGACAUGGAUAGAAGAUUAGAAGACUUCUAUUUCAGGUAGAAGAUUUCUAUUUCAGAGUUCUUGUUUUCCUGCUUUUUUAAUAAU